rnacentral:rRNA from 1 species
CCUACGGGUGGCUGCAGUGGGGAAUAUUGCACAAUGGGGGAAACCCUGAUGCAGCGACGCCGCGUGAGUGAAGAAGUAUCUCGGUACGUAAAGCUCUAUCAGCAGGAAAGAAAAUGACGGUACCUGACUAAGAAGCCCCGGCUAACUACGUGCCAGCAGCCGCGGUAAUACGUAGGGGGCAAGCGUUAUCCGGAUUUACUGGGUGUAAAGGGAGCGUAGACGGCGCUGCAAGUCCGGAGUGAAAGCCCAUGGCUUAACCAUGGUACUGCUCUGGAAACUGUAGAGCUUGAGUGCGGGAGGGGCAGGCGGAAUUCCUAGUGUAGCGGUGAAAUGCGUAGAUAUUAGGAGGAACACCGGCGGCGAAGGCAGCUUACCAAGCUACUUCUGACGUUGAGGCACGAAAGCGUGGGGAGCAAACAGGAUUAGAUACCCCAGUAGUC